rnacentral:lncRNA from 1 species
AUGAUAAUCUAUCUUAAAAGCAUUUUUAUUUAAUAAAAUACAGAGUCAGCUCAAGCAAGCACAUGCAAUGAGAGACAAAAGGAUUGGUGUUAUUUAAAACUUGAGCACAGGAAGAUCUGAAGAGGAUACUGAGUGAAAUUCAAUCCAGUAAAGUUGAUACAUUCUUGGCAGCUAUUUAAGAUCCUCCAGGUUGAAUGCUAUGAGAAGGGUGAUGGAUCAUUUCUAAGCUUCCAGAAACCUCAGCUCAGAUCUUCAGACUGAAUCUGGAAAAAUGAUUACCUGAAUGUCCUCCAAAACAACACAGGGCCUCUGCUGAAAUUCUUUUCUUUUAUUAUUUAUAGAUGGGAAACAAUAUCUGCUAGUAUCAAAAUGUAAAUCAGUUUAUAACCAUACAGAGUUGGAGGACAAACACGACUGCAAGACAUCACCAUUUACAGAAGGAGGCUACUGUCAUCAUUUGGAGAGUAUAACAGAAAAUGCAUCCCAAAUAGAGACAGAAUGGCUUUUCGGCCUGGCAGAGCCCUGGCUCACACUGUUUCAGUGGCGAACAUCCAGGGUGAUAAUCCCUGCAAGCAAUCGCUUAGCUGGUGCUGAUCCUCCAGCAGGCUGUUGGAGCAAAGGUUAUCAGGGAGCACUGUCACUGCUGGAGCUGUGUAUGGCAUGUUCUAUGCUGAGUUUCUCAUGUCAAGUGAAGCAGGUGAUUGAAUUCACCAGGCUGUCUUCAGACCAAUUUUUCUGCCGCAUUAAAGUGACAUUCACUGUAAUGAAAUGUUGGUCUUCGCUGAGAACACUGAAUGGUGCAGUCUGAUAUCCAAGCUGCUUUACAGUACAUGCAGAGCAUGUACUUUUUCUUUUUUUAAUUCUUAUUCCUAGCAUGGUUGUUUAUGUGGGGUUAAUUUUCCACUUGGUCUUUUUUCAGCACAGUUUCACCUAUGGAGCUGAAAAGACACAAGCAUUUAUCUUUUUAGAUACUGGGCGAUAAAAAUAACAUAGGAAUAUCAAAUCUCAUUAGGUUUCUGAUACCAACAGCUAUACCAAGGAACAAAUCCACUUUCUCUUCCCACAAAAGCUCUGUACGUAUGCAAUCACUUAUUACAUCAUUCCUGAUACAAUUUAAAUAAUAGUUCACUUUCUUUUCCCAAGUUUUGAACUUUCAUCUUUUAAAUCUGCUUCCUACAGUAAAGUAUACUAGCUGUAUACAUGAUUUUACUGUGAAAUAUUAAACUGGAAAAAAAAUUUUGAAAUAUACAAAUAUUUUCCUUAAUAUCCACUCCUAAUUCAAAAUCAGGCUCAUCUCGAAUCAAUUUUAUUUAUAUCUUUGUAGUUAGUCCCAAAGGGCUUUUUGCAACCUAAUUUUUCUUUGAUUUAUUGAUCGUUUUACAAAACUGGAGAUGUUUGGUUGUUCAUCCAAGCUAGCUUGGAUGUAGAGUUCAUAAAUUUGUGAGCUCUAUUGUCACACAAACA